UCGUACCUUUCGUUCCCAGCAGUGCCGGAUUUACCACUAGGCUGAGUAGGCUGAAGCCUAGGGCGGCAGAUUUUAGGGGGCGGCAAAUUUGGGUCAAAAAAAUAUUUUAUUUGCUGUUCAGAUAGGGAUGACCGGAAUUUUGCCGCUCCCCUAUUUAUUUGUAAAAUUUAAAUAACAGGCUUUAUUUGUCGGUUUUGCCGCCCUCUGUCAUGUCAAGACCCUUUAUAUUGAGACAGAUAAACGGUUGGACGGACAACAAAGUGAUCCUAUAUGGAUUCCGUUUUGAAGCUUGGAACCCUAAAAAUGUACCAUGUUCUAUCAAAUUGCGCUAUUUCUAUCGAAAAAAUUUCGCGCUAGCUACGCUCGCGUUUUUAUUUAGGAACGUUAUUGAUGGGCCACAUAUAAAGCUAGGCAAAGGCCUCCCCCCUCUUCUUUCACUCGUCCCGGUUUUGAGCUACAUCUGGCCAGUCUCUCAAAAAGGAGUCCAAGUUAUCCCGCCAUCGCCAACGAGGUCUACCGGUUCCCCGGUUUGACUCGUGGGGUACCCACUUUGUGGUUAACUUGGCCCACAAGUUGUUCGGCAUUCGGCAGACAUAACCAGCCCAGUCCCACUUUAGAGUCGCACCAAACAAAGUCUGCAGCGGAUUUGAUAGCCCACGCAGUGUAAGUGUUAUGUAUACGUCAUAAUUUCAUAGAAGUUUGACGUUUAAAAUGACACUUGUAUUGUGUGGGCUAUCAAAAUCGUUGCAGACUUUUUACGGUUUGACUAUAGCUUACCCGCUUUUCGAGCUAAGCUAUUAUCUGAGGUUUAGAGCGCAUCGUGGUGUUCCGGAUGCGAUCCCUUAGUUUCACACCUAAUAAGCUGCGCUCCAUAGCUCUCUGUCAAACCCCGAGUUUGGACUUCUGAGCUUCCGUCAAAGACCAAGUCUGAGCACCAUAAGCUAGGACUGACAGUAACACUUAAAUAUGUAGGUACCAUUUUCUAGCAAAUUGCGCUAUUUGUACCUAAAAAAUUUCGCGAUCGCUACGCUCGCGUUUUUAUUGAGGUACAUUAUUUGUGGCCCAUCAAUAUAAGCCAUUUGUAUAGCAUAGUCCCUCGAGCAAUCGAUGCCAGAUCCGACCAAACUCCUUUGCUAUAUCCAGCCUGACUGCCAAUGCCUUACCUUGAUUCUCAAUGGCCAAAACCCAGUGGUACCCACCGGUCGCCGAUCAGAUCAGGCAAAUACAUAUAACGAGGUCGCAUCGUCAUUGGCUGACAAAAACGGCUCAUAUAAAUCUGUAUCUAGAAUAGUGACAUCACCUUAUAUGCAUUCUAAUAUGACUAUGGUGCGUUGUACUAUUAAAUUAAACGCCUCUGAUUGGAAAGUACUUUAAAAAGCUAUAUGCGAGGUGGAUAGGGGCGGCAAAACCAGCAUAGCCUAUGGGCGGCAAAUGUCUAAAUCCGGCACUGGUUCCCAGUGUUCCCACCUAUGGUUGUCGCUGCCGCCGUCGCAAGUCGCUCAAUAUCGUGGCCGAGCCGUAAGGUGUACAAUACGUCUAUAAUAAGCUCUUCAGCUCGAGCAGCUACAAAGUAACUUGUAUUUCAUCUGUGCCAGUGAGACUUAGUAUCUAUGGGAGCCUUAUUACUACUAGCAAUAUUAUGGCUGCAACUAUUUAAUAGGUUAGCCAGAUUCCUUAUUUUGUCAUGCACAGCCAUAAGCUUCCUUAAUAAAAUUAAUUAACGCCAUCAAGAUUGCAGUAGAUAGGUAAUUCAGAUCAAUGUGAAUGACGAACCUUGAAUAUCACUUCACUCAGACGAUUUGUGAAAUAGUUGCACGGUGGUUUUCUAUAAAAACAUCUCACCAACCAUCUGAAUUAAGUUGAAGCCAUAUAAAUAUAUUUAUUUACAUAUUUAUAUUUAAAUAUUGUUAUUAAAUAGUUGACUAAUAUUAGAGAAUAAAAUAUGUAUUCAUAUCCUUAGGUGGAGUGCACACAAAGGUGGAUAAAGUAAAUAUUGGCAGACCUUACUUCAUUUGCAUUAAUUACGGUUUGCAAUCGCUUAAGUUCUUAUUGUGUUUGGGUAGAACAAUACGCGGCAAAAACACAACCCAAUUAUUGCUUCAUACGCAACCCAAUAAUAAACUUUGAAUCAUAUAAGGUAGGAUCGUAUAGAAGUGGUAUACGCGUGCCUCCGUGAGGGACAAAACAUACGCAAAUGCGACACUAUGAUUGGUCGAAUUUAUUUGUUGCCCACCAUUAUCCAUACUAAAAAAAAGGUGGGGAACAAAAAAAUAUGUGAGACCGUGAUAAGGACAAACAAUAAUAGAGCUUUCUCUGCUACUCCUACUGAAAGAUACGUAAGACUAUCCCGUUCUGUCACUUAUCCCCACCACUCAUGCCCAAUCCAGUUUAAUACUAGAUUCAUGCUUUGAAUAGUAUGUAAGGUUGGUAUUCCACCUGCCAAUUUCUUGGUCCAAUGUGUAUUGCAUCUCACUCUCUCUCUCUAAGCAAAAUAAGAGACGCAAAUACACAUUGGACAAAGAAAUUGGACUGAUGGAAUGCCAUCCUAAGCGAUUUUCAAAAGUGAUUAUAAUACUUGAUGUAAAAUAAUAUUAAUUAAUUAAUUAAAUGUUAAUUUUAGGCUAAUAAUUAUGAUGUGCAAUGCAGAAAUAUAUAUUUAUUUUACUAUAAUGUGAUAUUAUUUGGUAAUAUUUGUAAUAAAAAUAUUAUGAUUUAAUAAACUUUUAUUUACAUAGC